GAGAGAGAGCUUGCUUUCCGAGCGAGUGGCGAACGGGUGAGUAACGCGUGAGGACCUGCCUCAAAGAGGGGGACAACAGUUGGAAACGACUGCUAAUACCGCAUAAGUCGGCAUCGAAAAAGGAGCAAUCCGCUUUGAGAUGGCCUCGCGUCCGAUUAGCUGGUUGGUGAGGUAAUGGCCCACCAAGGCGACGAUCGGUAGCCGGACUGAGAGGUUGAACGGCCACAUUGGGACUGAGACACGGCCCAGACUCCUACGGGAGGCAGCAGUGGGGAAUAUUGCACAAUGGGGGAAACCCUGAUGCAGCGACGCCGCGUGGAGGAAGAAGGUCUUCGGAUUGUAAACUCCUGUUGUUGAGGAAGAUAAUGACGGUACUCAACAAGGAAGUGACGGCUAACUACGUGCCAGCAGCCGCGGUAAAACGUAGGUCACAAGCGUUGUCCGGAAUUACUGGGUGUAAAGGGAGCGCAGGCGGGAAGGCAAGUUGGAAGUGAAAUCCAUGGGCUCAACCCAUGAACUGCUUUCAAAACUGUUUUUCUUGAGUAGUGCAGAGGUAGGCGGAAUUCCCGGUGUAGCGGUGGAAUGCGUAGAUAUCGGGAGGA
rnacentral:rRNA from 1 species